UCCCUGGUGGUCUAGUGGUUAAGACUCUGUGUUCCCAGUGCAGGGGACCUGGGUUUGAUCCCUGGUCAGGCAA
rnacentral:tRNA from 1 species